rnacentral:rRNA from 1 species
GACGAACGCUGGCGGCGUGCUUAACACAUGCGAGUCGAACGGAAAGGCCCUGCUUUUGUGGGGUGCUCGAGUGGCGAACGGGUGAGUAACACGUGAGUAACCUGCCCUUGACUUUGGGAUAACUUCAGGAAACUGGGGCUAAUACCGGAUAGGAGCUCCUGCUGCAUGGUGGGGGUUGGAAAGUUUCGGCGGUUGGGGAUGGACUCGCGGCUUAUCAGCUUGUUGGUGGGGUAGUGGCUUACCAAGGCUUUGACGGGUAGCCGGCCUGAGAGGGUGACCGGCCACAUUGGGACUGAGAUACGGCCCAGACUCCUACGGGAGGCAGCAGUGGGGAAUAUUGCACAAUGGGCGGAAGCCAGAUGCAGCAACGCCGCGUGCGGGAUGACGGCCUUCGGGUUGUAAACCGCUUUCGCCUGUGACGAAGCGUGAGUGACGGUAAUGGGUAAAGAAGCACCGGCUAACUACGUG